CCCCUAGACGUUCUGGGCUGCACGCGCGCUACAAUAAUACGCACAGCGAGUAUCACCGAGCUCGAAAGGGCAAGGUAAACAAUAGAAAAGGUACUGUAAUGGUUAUAGAUCCUUGUAAUUAUUGAUCUUCAACGAGGAAUUCCUAGUAAGUAUGUGUCAUCAUCACGCACUGAUUACGUCCCUGCCCUUUGUACACACCGCCCGUCGCUCCUACCGAUUGAGUGAUCCGGUGAGGCUCUGGGACCUGGACGGAAAGAGCGUUUCGCUUGUUCUGUUUGGGAAACUUGGUCGAACCUUAUCAUUUAGAGGAAGGAGAAGUCGUAACA
rnacentral:rRNA from 1 species